rnacentral:rRNA from 1 species
CGUAAAGCGUACGUAGGCGGUUCGUUAAGUUAGAUGUGAAAGCCCCGGGCUUAACCUGGGAACUGCAUUUAAAACUGGCGAACUAGAGUUGAGUAGAGGGGAGUGGAAUUUCAGGUGUAGCGGUGAAAUGCGUAGAGAUCUGAAGGAACACCAGUGGCGAAGGCGACUCCCUGGACUUGAACUGACGCUGAGGUACGAAAGCGUGGGUAGCAAACGGGAUUAGAUACCCCGGUAGUCCACGCCGUAAACGAUGUCAACUAACUGUUGGGACCUUAAAGGUCUUAGUGGUGGAGCUAACGUAUUAAGUUGGCCGCCUGGGGAGUACGGUCGCAAGGCUAAAACUCAAAUGAAUUGACGGGGGCCCGCACAAGCGGUGGAGCAUGUGGUUUAAUUCGAUGCAACGCG